CCUGCAGGAAAGGACAUCAACCGAGACUCCGCAAGUAGCGGCGAGCGAACGCGGACCAGGCCAGUGGCAAUGAGGAAUAAAGUGGAAAGAUCUGGAAAGGUCUGCCGUAGCGGGUGACAGCCCCGUACACGUAGAACACUCAUUGUCCUUGAGUAGGGCGGGACACGAGAAAUCCUGUCUGAACAUGGGGAGACCACUCUCCAAGCCUAAGUACUCGUGCAUGACCGAUAGCGAACAAGUACCGUGAGGGAAAGGUGAAAAGCACCCCGACAAGGGGAGUGAAAUAGAACCUGAAACCGGAUGCCUACAAACAGUCGGAGCCCGCAAGGGUGACGGCGUACCUUUUGUAUAAUGGGUCAACGACUUAGUGUGGCAUGCAAGCUUAAGCCGGUAGGUGGAGGCGUAGCGAAAGCGAGUCUGAACAGGGCGCUUUAGUAUGUCGCAUUAGACCCGAAACCGAGUGAUCUAGCCAUGAGCAGGUUGAAGGUUGGGUAACACCAACUGGAGGACCGAACCCGCAUCUGUUGCAAUAGAUUGGGAUGACUUGUGGCUAGGGGUGAAAGGCCAAUCAAACUCGGAAAUAGCUGGUUCUCCGCGAAAUCUAUUUAGGUAGAGCGUCGACCGAAUACCCCCGGGGGUAGAGCACUGGAUGGGCUAUGGGGACUCACCGUCUUACUGAUCCUAACCAACUCCGAAUACCGGGGAGUACUAGUCGGCAGACACACGGCGGGUGCUAACGUCCGUCGUGAAGAGGGCAACAACCCUGACCUCCAGCUAAGGUCCCCAAGUCAUGGCUAAGUGGGAAAGGAUGUGAGGAUCCCAAAACAACCAGGAUGUUGGCUUAGAAGCAGCCAUCAUUUAAAGAAAGCGUAACAGCUCACUGGUCUAAAUAAGGGUCUUUGCGCCGAAAAUGUAACGGGGCUAAAGCCAUGCACCGAAGCUGAGGCUUGUAGCAUUCCUCGGAGUGCUGCAGGGGUAGCGGAGCGUUCCGUAAGCCUGUGAAGGGAUACCCGUGAGGGGUCCUGGAGGUAUCGGAAGUGCGAAUGUUGACAUGAGUAACGAUAAAGAGGGUGAGAGACCCUCUCGCCGAAAGACCAAGGGUUCCUGCUUAAAGUUAAUCUGAGCAGGGUUAGCCGGCCCCUAAGACGAGGCGGACACGCGUAGUCGAUGGGAACCACGUUAAUAUUCGUGGGCCUGGUGGUAGUGACGGAUUGCUUAACUUGUUCGGACUUAAUGGAUUGUCCGGGCGGGGACGCGGUUCCAGGAAAUAGCUCCACCGUAUAGACCGUACCCGAAACCGACACAGGUGGUCAGGUAGAGUAUACCAAGGCGCUUGAGAGAACUAUGCUGAAGGAACUCGGCAAAUUGCACGCGUAACUUCGGAAGAAGCGUGACCCUUUUUUGACGCAAGUCAGAUGGGGGUGGCWCAGACC
rnacentral:rRNA from 1 species